GACGAACGCUGGCGGCGUGCUUAACACAUGCAAGUCGUACGGUAAGGCCCUUUCGGGGGUCCACGAGUGGCGCACGGGUGAGUAACACGUGAGUAACCUGCCCACAACUUUGGGAUAACGCUAGGAAACUGGUGCUAAUACUGGAUAUGUGCUCCUGCUGCAUGGUGGGGGUUGGAAAGCUCCGGCGGUUGUGGAUGGACUCGCGGCCUAUCAGCUUGUUGGUGGGGUAGUGGCCUACCAAGGCGGCGACGGGUAGCCGGCCUGAGAGGGUGACCGGCCACAUUGGGACUGAGAUACGGCCCAGACUCCUACGGGAGGCAGCAGUGGGGAAUAUUGCACAAUGGGCGCAAGCCUGAUGCAGCAACGCCGCGGGCGGGAUGACGGCCUUCGGGUUGUAAACCGCGUUCAGCAGGGACGAAGCUUUUUGCGACGGUACCUGCAGAAGAAGCACCGGCUAACUACGUG
rnacentral:rRNA from 1 species